rnacentral:rRNA from 1 species
CCCUUAGAUGUUCUGGGCCGCACGCGCGCUACACUGAUGCAUUCAACGAGUCUAAAACCUGCUCUGAUAGGGGUGGGUAAUCUUUUGAAUGUGCAUCGUGAUUGGGAUAGAUGAUUGCAAUUUUUCAUCUUCAACGAGGAAUGCCUAGUAAGCGCAAGUCAUCAGCUUGCGUUGAUUACGUCCCUGCCCUUUGUACACACCGCCCGUCGCUCCUACCGAUUGAAUGGUCCGGUGAAGCGCUCGGACCGCGGCCUCUUGACGGUUCGCUGUCGAUUGGCUGUGGGAAGUUCGUUAAACCUUAUCAUUUAGAGGAAGGAGAAGUCGUGACA